ensembl:lncRNA
CUGGCAAGGAAGAUAUCUCUCCUGAUUAAUUGGUAUAAGGAAUUUACUCAAGUCACACAGAUCCUUCCCAUUUAGCCAAUAAUGCCACUGAUGUGAAUUAGAAGGAGCCAAGAUGAGAGCCAGAGCUUCAGGCUGGUGUAGGCAAGUUCCAGCACCACAUGUGAAAGUGUGAAGAUCAGAGGAAAACCAUAUCCUGGCUGAAGAUGAGACCUCUCUCUUCCAUCACCCAAAGGGCCCCUGUGACUGUUCUCAUGUCACUGUGAAGUCACCAUGGGGUUUGCGCUCCUUGGGGACCAGAGGCUUGGCAGCCCUUGCCACCCCAGCAUUUUGGCCAGUGGCGGGCAGUGGGGCAGGCCCAGCGCUGAACAUGGGCACUUCCCUGGGGACAGACAGUGACAUGGGGCCACCGUGGGUCCCCUUGGUGGGGCCUAUGGCUGUGGGGAGCUGGAGUCCAACUCUGUUGUGGCCUCACCGGGCAGAGCUGGCAGCCCCACAGCUGACAUGGGAUCCUGGGCCUGGUCAGGUAGGGGAACCCCAGGGGACAGGGACAGGCAGGGCUAUUGGUGCCCUCAGGGCCCUGGCAACAUUUGACAUCAGAUUCUGCAGCAAAGAUACCCAUUCCAGGAACAGACAGGUGGAUUUGCUCCCUAACAGACAUCUCCACAACCUCCCAGGAGGUGAUGUGACAAAUGCAGGAGUCAGCCCUCACAAUGGCACCAAGGCUAAGCCAGCCUUGCAUCAUUCAUGCACAGUUCUGAUAUCUGUCACUAAGAGCCAGGAGUCCUGCAGUGUGAGCAAGAUUUAUCCAAUAAAAACAGCAUUCAAUAUGCACAUCUUUUUCAGACUAACGUAGCUAUCCUAUUAUUUACUCAACUAAUGAUUUGGUCUGUCACGUUUGGGGAAGGUAGAUCUUAAUUCUAGGAAGAAGCAAGCUUAACAGCUUCUGUUGCUUAGAAGUGAAACAAACAAACCACUCUUUAUCAGUGACUGAUUUAUCAUGGAACAGUGGGAAACACAGGGAACAAGAGAGAUUGAAAACAUUCAUCAAAACCUCUGGCACAUUCAUAUGAGUGAAUGGUGAUUAUGAACCACUGCAGGCCUGCAUUGUCCCUACCUGCAUCCCCACAUCAAAUAGCAUGUUGUUUAUGCACUGCUGAUUUGGUGAUAUCUCGAUUAUUCCACAUGCUUUAUUUCAGCAUCACUUCAAAUUUAGUCCUUUGGAGCAGGAACAGUCUUAUUGACUAGCAAACAGCUGGAUGCUUGAUGGCUGUUCAGAGAAUACUGCUUCUGCUGGAUGUGUUAAUAUGCCUUCAUGCCUCAGUGUUUGGACCCCAAAGGACUGGGGUUUUAGAGCAUUGCUACACUUGCAAAACUGGAAAUGCUUUCACGGUUUGGCUGUUUGCCUAUCUUUAGACCUCAGUCACUUUAUUUGAUACCUAUCUAGCAUAUAGGAAAGAUCUCACCCACACCAGCUGAGCUCUGCAAAAACGUGAUUUCAGCAGGCAAGGCAGAAGUGGCUGGAACAGCCUGGUGAGAAUGUCUCACGCACAGCCAGCAACUGUCAGAGUGCAGCAGCAGGCAGCCCUGCCAGGGAGCUCGGCCAAGCCGCAGUCUGGUCUGAAAGAGGGCAGGGGAGACACAGCCGCCUGUGGGGCUCUUCCUCUGUGCAAUGAAUUGGUUUUGUCUCGCUGCUGUGAAGCAACACUUGUCUUUAAAGGACUGCUUUCUACAGACUUCAUGUAAGCCCACAGUUCAUGCCUCAUUUCAUCAGGAUGAAGAAGUGUAAGAGAUUCAUGUUGUAAGUUUGCUUACAAAAUUCCACGACUUUAAAUAAUGUCAGAGGCUACAAUACA